CGAACGCUGGCGGCAGGCCUAACACAUGCAAGUCGAACGAACCUUUCGGGGUUAGUGGCGGACGGGUGAGUAACACGUGGGAACGUGCCUUUAGGUUCGGAAUAACUCAGGGAAACUUGUGCUAAUACCGAAUGUGCCCCCCGAUUUAUUUCGGGGCGGGAAAGAUUUAUCGCCUUUAGAGCGGCCCGCGUCUGAUUAGCUAGUUGGUGAGGUAAAGGCUCACUAAGGCGACGAUCAGUAGCUGGUCUGAGAGGAUGAUCAGCCACAUUGGGACUGAGACACGGCCCAAACUCCUACGGGAGGCAGCAGUGGGGAAUCUUGCGCAAUGGGCGAAAGCCUGACGCAGCCAUGCCGCGUGAAUGAUGAAGGUCUUAGGAUUGUAAAAUUCUUUCACCGGGGACGAUAAUGACGGUACCCGGAGAAGAAGCCCCGGCUAACUUCGUGCCAGCAGCCGCGGUAAUACGAAGGGGGCUAGCGUUGCUCGGAAUUACUGGGCGUAAAGGGAGCGUAGGCGGACAUUUAAGUCAGGGGUGAAAUCCCGGGGCUCAACCUCGGAAUUGCCUUUGAUACUGGGUGUCUUGAGUAUGAGAGAGGUAUGUGGAACUCCGAGUGUAGAGGUGAAAUUCGUAUAUAUUCGGAAGAACACCAGUGGCGAAGGCAGAUCUCUGGGCCGUAACUGACGCUGAGGAGCGAAAGCAUGGGGAGCGAACAGGAUUAUAUACCCUGGUAGUCCAUGCCGUAAACGUUGGGAACUAGAUGUAGGGACCAUUCCUUCGGUUUCUGUGUCGCAGCUAAUAACAUUUAGUUCCCCGCGAUGGGGAGUACAGCCGCAAGGCUCAAACUCAAAGGAAUUGACGGGGGCACGCACAAGCGCCGGAGCAUUAGGUUUAAUUAGAUGCAACGCGAAGAACCUUCCCAAGGCUUGACAUAUACCGGAAAGGUGCAGAAAUCUAUCCCCUGCAAGGUCGGUAUACCGGUGGUGCAAGGUCGUUGUCAACUCGUGUUGUGAGAAGUUGGGGUAAAUUCCGCAACGAGCGCAACCCUUGUUCUUCGUUGCCCGCACGUAAUAGUGGGACCUUAAAAGAGACUGCCGGGGUCAACUCGGAGGAAAGUGGGGAAGACGUCAAAUCAUCAUGCCCCUUAUGUCUUGGGGUUCCCGCAUGGUUCAAUGGCCGGUGCAAAGGGGUACAAUACCGUAAGGCGGAACGAAUUCCAAAAAACCGGUCUCAGUUCGGAUUGAGGUCUGCAACUCGACCUCAUGAAGUCGGAGUCGCUUAUUAAUCGUGGAUCAGCAACGCCGCGGAGAAUAUUUUCCCGGGCUUUGUACACCCCCCCUGUCAACUCAUGAAAGUCGUUAACACCAGAAGCCAGUGGUCCAACCCCAAGGAGGGAGCUGUCGAAGGUGGGAUCGGUAAUUAGGA
rnacentral:rRNA from 1 species